rnacentral:misc_RNA from 1 species
UUGGUUUGCUUCGGCGGAUCAGCCCGCGCCCCGUAAAAGGGACGGCCCGCCCGAGGACCCCUAAACUCUGUUUUUAGUGGAACUUCUGAGUAAAACAAACAAAUAAAUCAAAACUUUCAACAACGGAUCUCUUGGUUCUGGCAUCGAUGAAGAACGCAGCAAAAUGCGAUAAGUAAUGUGAAUUGCAGAAUUCAGUGAAUCAUCGAAUCUUUGAACGCACAUUGCGCCCGCCAGUAUUCUGGCGGGCAUGCCUGUUCGAGCGUCAUUUCAACCCUCAAGCUCAGCUUGGUGUUGGGACUCGCGGUAACCCGCGUUCCCCAAAUCGAUUGGCGGUCACGUCGAGCUUCCAUAGCGUAGUAAUCAUACACCUCGUUACUGAAAAUUCGGUCGCA